UCUCCGUAGGUGAACCUGCGGAAGGAUCAUUAUUGUAUAAUCGAGGUGCGAGGGCUGUCGCUGUCCUGAAAGGUUGUGCACGCCCGAGUGCUAUCACACACAUCCAUCUCACCCCUUUGUGAACCACCGCGUGGGUCACCCUUUGGCAGGUUCGGAGGGGGUCUUACGUUUUCACACAAACUUUGUAUGCAGUGUAGAAUGUAUUUUUUGUUUUUGCGGCUACGCAAUCAAUACAACUUUCAACAACGGAUCUCUUGGCUCUC
rnacentral:misc_RNA from 1 species